GGAUCAAACUUGGGCCGGCCCGAUUGAGUUCAGACUUGCUCGGGCCUUAAAUUUUAAAACAUUUUCAAUCAUAAGUCCAAUCCCAAGUCCAAAAAAAUAUUUCAGGCUGGACUUGGUAGACUUGAGCAUGGGUCGAACAGCCCACCCGAUCUGAUAGUCCCGGCCUGUGAUUUGAGCGGACUUGGACAUAGAGAAUUCACAUAAGUCCCGACCCAACCUAAAGCCCGAGAGGCCUGUUUACUUUUAUGGUCCCGAGAAUCUAUGCAAAUAAUUAGCCCGGC
rnacentral:lncRNA from 1 species